UNUGCUGUGAAAGGUUGGGGCUUAACCCUGGUUUUGCAGUGGGUACGGGCUAACUAGAGUGCAGUAGGGGAGACUGGAAUUCCUGGUGUAGCGGUGGAAUGCGCAGAUAUCAGGAGGANCACCGAUGGCGAAGGCAGGUCUCUGGGCUGUAACUGACGCUGAGAAGCGAAAGCAUGNGGAGCGAACAGGAUUAGAUACCCUGGUAGUCCAUGCCGUAAACGUUGGGCACUAGGUGUGGGGGACAUUCCACGUUUUCCGCGCCGUAGCUAACGCAUUAAGUGCCCCGCCUGGGGAGUACGGCCGCAAGGCUAAAACUCAAAGAAAUUGACGGGGGCCCGCACAAGCGGCGGAGCAUGCGGAUUAAUUCGAUGCAACGCGAAGAACCUUACCAAGGCUUGACAUAUACUGGACUGCGUCAGAGAUGGCGUUUCCCUUCGGGGCUGGUAUACAGGUGGUGCAUGGUUGUCGUCAGCUCGUGUCGUGAGAUGUUGGGUUAAGUCCCGCAACGAGCGCAACCCUCGUUCUAUGUUGCCAGCACGUGAUGGUGGGGACUCAUAGGAGACUGCCGGGGUCAACUCGGAGGAAGGUGGGGAUGACGUCAAAUCAUCAUGCCCCUUAUGUCUUGGGCUUCACGCAUGCUACAAUGGCCGGUACAGAGGGUUGCGAUACUGUGAGGUGGAGCUAAUCCCUAAAAGCCGGUCUCAGUUCGGAUUGGGGUCUGCAACUCGACCCCAUGAAGUCGGAGUCGCUAGUAAUCGCAGAUCAGCAACGCUGCGGUGAAUACGUUCCCGGGCCUUGUACACACCGCCCGUCAAGUCACGAAAGUUGGUAACACCCGAA
rnacentral:rRNA from 1 species